AAAAGAUAAGCUAAGUUAAGCUACUAGGUUCAUACCCUAUUUAUGAAAGUUAUAAUCUUUCUCUUUUUAA
rnacentral:tRNA from 1 species